rnacentral:rRNA from 1 species
CAGCCGUAAACGAUGCGCGUUAGGUGUAUCGACGACCACGAGUCGUCGAGGUGCCGAAGGGAAACCGUGAAACGUGCCGCCUGGGAAGUACGGUCGCAAGGCUGAAACUUAAAGGAAUUGGCGGGGAGCACCACAACAGGUGGAGCCUGCGGUUUAAUUGGACUCAACGCCGGAAAUCUCACCGGAUAAGACAGCAGAAUGAUUGCCGGGCUGAAGACCCUGCAUGACUAGCUGAGAGGAGGUGCAUGGCGUAGACGUCU